ACUCGUAUCUCUAUUUAUGUUUCUAUAUGUAUAUACUGUACUAUCAGGUUAUUAAAGUUAUAUUAUGUAGCAUAUAAACCCAUAUAAAACCAUUUUCGCACCUUUAAUUAUAUAACUGAAUAUAUAUUUGUCUUUAUAUAUUCGUUUUGUUACAUAUAUACAUAUUUGCAUAUGUACAUGCAGGCGCAGUAUAAAUGGCAACGGACACGGCAACCCGCUCGGCUAGACACUGGCUCACGCGAUGGUCUUCAAGAAAGUCCGGCAGGCGCUGGGCUUGGACCCCUGCAUUUUCACCCGCUCGAGUGCCGCGUACGUGAUAAAGGAGACGCUGGAGCACUUCCUUCCUUAAACAUCCCCAUCUACGACAUUUACGGCAUGAGGAAAGCUCCGCUCCCCACACACUAAACCUGCCCGGCGCUUUAAAAAUCGGCUCGGGAACUGGAACUGAUGACAAAGAUCGACAAGCCAGAGAUUGGGCGACUAACGCGCCGCUGGAAAGGCUGACCAAGCCCGCAUAAGAAUGGAUUCACGAGAACAUCGGCCAGGACGUGAGCACGGUGACGGAGGCCGCGUCGGACUGACCAGCCUGCAGAAGAUUGUCGAGAAGCGCAUGGCGCUGCAUGAUCAACAAGCGCGUCACCAGCCGCGCCCAGUGCGUGCAGAAAUUCAAGCUGGUCCCUUAGGACUACAGCAUGCCCAGCAGCGACUGGGUUCCACGCUGAAACUGAAGUGCAACGUCGUUGUCGUAAAGUACAGAGCUAUCACUGAGAUCACAGAGCAGUUCUACGACGAGACCGAUUCGUGAGCGAAGCCACUCCCCUCUCUGACGUGAAUCCUCGUUGCCGCUCGCUCCUUUCCUUUUCUCCCGGUUAUUCAUGCGUGCGGAGAGAAUGCAUGAACUUGCACAUUGUUUGCUCACUCAGUCUUUUGCCCCUUUGAGGAUUCUCAUUUUUUCUGUCGUAGGCACCACAUUCUAACAUUAUUACAUGAUGUUAAGUGUCUCUUGUUGAGAUCCAUUCGUAAUAAUCCGUCCUAUAUUCUGCGUAGAUCAGUAUUCGGUGAAGUAUGGGCAUUUGCAGCGUCAAUGUAAGCACCGCAGAAUACCUACAACGUCCGACUUAAAACAGU